rnacentral:lncRNA from 1 species
AUUUAGGUCUCAAGGAGAUUACCCACAACAAAUUCUAUUCCAUAUAUGGCACUGUUACAGCAGUUAUCAGUAGGAAACUCAGUACAGGGAGAAAAACAAAUGAUAUGCAAAUUAAUAAAACACUUUAUUACUGACUAUCUAACAUUAACCAAGCAACAAAUAAGUAUAGAAUAUGUGAAGACAAAUGAGAUGGAAUCCUUGCUGUAUAGGUUCUUGUAGGAUCAUAAAAUGAAAAAAUUCCUUUGUUUGGGGAUAUACAAGAUUUAAUGGAAAAUAGAAGAGGGGUGAUUAACUACUUGGUAAACAUU